CUUGGUCAUUUAGAGGAAGUAAAAGUCGUAACAAGGUUUCCGUAGGUGAACCUGCGGAAGGAUCAUUAGUGAACGCCCUCACGGGCUUAUAACUAUUCCAAACCUCUGUGAACCGUGCCCUUCGGGGCUAUUUUACAAACAUGGUGUAAUGAACGUCAUAUAUCAUAACAAAACAAAACUUUCAACAACGGAUCUCUUGGCUCUCGCAUCGAUGAAGAACGCAGCGAAAUGCGAUAAGUAAUGUGAAUUGCAGAAUUCAGUGAAUCAUCGAAUCUUUGAACGCACCUUGCGCCCUCUGGUAUUCCGGAGGGCAUGCCUGUUUGAGUGUCAUGUAGACUCAAUCCCUCGGGUUUCCGAGGAGAUUGGACUUGGGUGUUGCCGCUCUGCCGGCUCGCCUUAAAAGACUUAGCGGGAUAGCACCGUAGUCGGCGUAAUAAGUUUCGUCGGUGAAGGUUGUGAUGACUGCUUACAAUCGCCCUC
rnacentral:sRNA from 1 species